UGAUAAUGUAAUGUAAUGUUUAGGUUGAAAAGACAACCCAAGAAGGCUUCCCGCCCAAAAGGCCCCGCCAUACCUCUGUUCAACCCUCGCCUUCCCUGAACGCGGUAUCUAAUGGUUCUGCCGCUGACGCCGAGCAACUAAAGGCGGUCUCAGACCUAGUGACUUUGCAUUUGGCAUCUGAGGAGGGGGAUUUCACGCAGUUUCCACCGUGGAUCCUCAACAUCACUUAUUUUAUCCUCCGUUUUUUAGCUAGUCUGCUAGCUAGCUUGUUACCACGUUUUUUCCCUAACAAAGUCAGCCUGUGUUGUUUUUUUUUUAAUUCUUUUUUUUGUGAAAGCAAAGAGGAUUCUUUUCCAGCAACAUCUACAAGGGCCUUCCUCAACAAAGACCUCUGGAGUUUUUUGCUUUUUAAUUAUUUUUGUUUGAAAGAAAGAAAGAGACUGCGUUUUUGCAACUAUGCAUACAUGUGAAAAUGUAAAGUCCCAAGGCUAUCAGACGGCUUACAACUUGCCAGACCUGAACCAGGUGAUCAACUUACAAGAGGAGAAAAGUUGACAUUUAAUUGCCCCCCGGCCUGCAGACUAAGCGUGAAAGCAGUGGAUGACUGUUUAGCAGGCGGUCAAUGGAGUGACUCCUUUCCAACAUGUGGAGGUCACCUGCAAAGUUUGUCAUUCCUUCACCUCAGUUGCGGCUGAAGGGCUCAACCAAUCAUACAACAUAGUAGCACAGUGUCUUAUCACCAACCCAUGAAAGCUAGAAGUCACUCAUGGCUAUUGAUUAUACAUCACUUUAGCUUUGCUACUACCUCAUUUAAUUCAAUUAUUCUUAACUUGUGUUGCAAUACCUGAAUUAUCCCUAUUGUGAAACCUAAACUUAUCUUUUAUUUUAGUUCAUAUCAUAACCCUGCUCACAAACUCACAUGUACAUGGGUCAGCUGGUUGCCAAUAUCAAUGUUCCUGCUACAGUAAAUCCUACAGGCAAAGUGUACUGCUUCACAGGAGUAUGAACCAUACGCUUUUUAGGUUUUGUCUCAAAUAUUGUGCAGUUUGUUAUGAAUUACUCAUUGGUUUUGACAAGGUAAAUUAAAUCUGUUAAACAACAUGUUUGUUGUGUCCACUCUGGUAAAUUUAAUUGGACUGUUUUUUAGAAAGAUUACAGAACAUGAAAAACCUAACUGCCUUGAUAAGGGUUUUUAAUUUGUUGCAAAUAUGACCAAAUAUGACUCUAAUAAUCUCUUAUUGCUCUGAAAAACUACAAUGAUUUAAGAAAUAUCAGUGAUGCUUAUAAACAUUUAUUGAAUUGAUUGUAUAUGUGGGCAGACAUUACAGGCACCUAUUCAUGCAAGCAGAGAACACAAUAGUUUGUUCUCUCUUUUAUCAAACGAUCAAAAUAACGAAAACUAGGUGGGAAAAAA